rnacentral:lncRNA from 1 species
UUGUCUGGAGUAGUACCUGGUGAAGAGUAUAUGAAGCUUAAAGACACCUAUUGGAAGAGGUCAGACAAUCUCCAUAUUGGCUGAGUCUCGGGCAUUUCAUAGCAUCAGAGUUCUGGCUCAAGCUAAGGUUUUCAGAGAAACUGACCCAGCCAAAACUACCAACAGAAUCCAGAGCUUGGCCACAACAAAAUCAUCUUCAGACAACUAUCUACAUCAGUGGCACCUUUCAGAUACCUGUGGCAGAUGUAGCGAAGUGUGAUCAUAAAACAAGGUGAGUGUGCAUUCCCAGACCUGCGGUCCCAGGGAGUUUUUGAGCAGAGAGGAUGUCUUUGUAUUUA